GCGUACCACUGAACAAUCACAAUGCACUGUCUCUUCCUGAGCAGCCAACUCCACCAAAAAGACCGGGCCUGGUGACAGCAGGAACAAGAUGGCGGAUCCCAAAGAUGAUUUCCCAUGAUCCUUCGCGGACCUCCCGAGAGGACCUUGCCGGAUACCCUCAGAAGGCGAUGGAGUAACAGCCUGGAACACCUGAAACACGCAACCACACAAUGGCAAACAACAACGACUGUUGCCUGCCAACAUGCCUCACAAGAGUCCAUACCAGGUCCACAGCCACAACACCUAGCGACCUCAAAACCACGUAAACAAUGCCAAACGACGAUGAAAAGAGAGCCUACCUUGUUACAACUAAAUACACCAUCAAUACUGUCGCUGGCAUAGCCAUAGAUGCUUUGCGCUUAAAGGCAUGUCUUCUGUCGACUGCAGGACGUUCUACAGUCACCCUUUACAAACAAUACAAGACCAACAGUCGGCUAUCAAAGUACAUCAAAAGCAAGGUACAUCACAAGCAAAGUGAACAUUCUUCGUCUGAAACCACGACGCCACAUAAUCAUCUCCUGCUUUCCAAAAGACGUAGACAAUACAAAACAAGGACGUUAAUCGACUUUAAAACUACAUCUAUGAAACAUGUAUGUUUCAACUGCGAUGCUUCAGAAUAAUACAUGUACAAGCAAAAUGACAGUAACAAAGUGGUCAAAUUGGCAUUCACGUGAACUAACUCUACAAUAAUAUUACAAACGAAUAGAUAAUCCUCGUUGCUUUUUAAUUAAGGUGUAUAGAGCUAACGGCAUAGGUAACUAAUUUCAUAACAUUAAAACAGCAAAUUAAAGCAAACUAAAUUACUACCCUAGCUUUUAAUUUUAAUAAAACAAUUUUAAUAGCCAAUACCACUAAUCAAUUCGUAUUCUACAAAGUCUAAAAUAAACAUUAAUGAACAACGCAUCCUAACAUUUUAUUAAAUCACAAGCCAAGAAAAGCAAUCGAGAGAGAAACUAUGUGAGUGUGGCAUGUAUGUAUGUUUGUUUGUGUGUGUGUGUGUGUGUGUGUGUGUGCGUGUGUGUGAUUGUGUGU